UUACUUUGCAAUUUAUUUCUAGUUUUAGUUUGCUGAUUGAAUUGUGAGAAUUGCAUUUAAAAUGCAAAAAGUCAAUUUAACUGUCGGUGCUUUUUCGGUAUCAUUGGCCGAAGUAUUUGUUGAAGAAGACGAUCAAAUUGUUCCUCAUUUCAAGUCUCUUAAACGAAUUGCUGCCAUUCUCUCGGAUUAUGGUCAUUUCAACUUGAAAUUCAUUUAACCCAAGGAAGGACAAAUGGGUUUACUGACAAAGACUGGUUAUCAUGAUGGAGUUUUGGGUUUAUUACAAGAAGGGGUAAGUACAAUCGUAAAAUUAACUGUGAGAUAUUAAACAUUUAAUAGUUGAGUAAACUGUUGCUCAUGAAUUCACAAAUGUGGCAAAAGUCAUUCCCAGCAUAUUUUUCC